UGGGUAAUCUUUUGAAACUUCAUCGUGCUGGGGAUAGAGCAUUGCAAUUAUUGCUCUUGAACGAGGAAUCCCUAGUAAGCACAAGUCAUUAGCUUGUGCUGAUUACGUCCCUGCCCUUUGUACACACCGCCCGUCGCUACUACCGAAUGAAUGGCUUAGUGAGGCCCUCGAAUUGAGGUUCGGAGACUGGCAACAGUUUCUGUUCUUUGAGAAGUUGGUCAAACUUGGUCAUUUAGAGGAAGUAAAAGUCGUAACAAGGUUUCCGUAGGUGAACCUGCGGAAGGAUCAUU
rnacentral:rRNA from 1 species